AACGAACGCUGGCGGCAUGCCUAACACAUGCAAGUCGAACGCAUCCUUCGGGGUGAGUGGCAGACGGGUGAGUAACGCGUGGGAACGUGCCCUUCAGUUCGGGAUAACCCAGGGAAACUUGGGCUAAUACCGGAUACGUGCGAGAGCAGAAAGAUUUAUCGCUGAAGGAUCGGCCCGCGUCUGGUUAGCUAGUUGGUGGGGUAAUGGCCCACCAAGGCGACGAUCAGUAGCUGGUCUGAGAGGAUGAUCAACCACAUUGGGACUGAGACACGGGCCAAACUCCUAAGGGAGGCAGCAGUGGGGAAUAUUGGACAAUGGGCGCAAGCCUGAUCCAGCCAUGCCGCGUGAGUGAUGAAGGCCUUAGGGUUGUAAAGCUCUUUCGUCCGGGACGAUAAUGACGGUACCGGAAGAAGGAGCCCCGGCUAACUUCGUGCCAGCAGCCGCCGUAA
rnacentral:rRNA from 1 species